rnacentral:lncRNA from 1 species
ACGACACCUUGUCAGACAGGCCACUUCCUGCAUGAAACCUUCUCAGUUUUUUGCCUGCCAAAUGAGUUCUGUUAUACUCACAGACAUCAUUCAAACAGUUUUAGAAACUUUAGGGUGUUUUCUAUCCAUAUGUAAUAAGUAUAUGCAUAUUCUAGUUAUUGGGUAGGAGUGGUAACCAGAUUAAAUCGGAUACGUUUUUUAUCCGGCGGUGUAAAUACUGCCCCCUAGCCCUAACAGGUUUUAAGAAAUAUCUAUUUUCUACAAUGACAUCACAAACAGAAAUUACAUUUACAUUACAUUUUAGUCAUUUAGCAGACGCUCUUAUCCAGAGCGACUUACAGUAGUGAAUGCAUACAUUUCAUUUCAUACAUUUUUUUUUUUUUUUCCUGUGCUGGCCCCCCGUGGGAAUCGAACCCACAACCCUGGUGUUGCAAACACCAUGCUCUACCAACUGAGCUACAGCGAAAUAAUGUCACUUCCUUGGCGGGAAAACAACUGUAGGUAACCAGGUCUUUCUGAAGGAAUGGCACCUCCUCUUAGUGCAGCUGAAAGACAGCGGCAAUACAGUGAACGACGUAAUGCUGACUCAGAAAGAAGGAGAGAGUAUCUAGAGAAAGAGAGGGAGAAAUGGAGGAAAGAUAAAGAGACAGGGAAGAAGAAGAAGGCAAUAGCUGAACUCAGUGACAGAGUGCAGUCUGCAGAAAGGAAGAAAUGGAGAGAUUCAAAAAGGAUACUCGGAGCCAGGGCCAAGGCUAGUGCGUUGCUGCAGUCGGCAGAGAUGCCUGCCUUAGAUGCCAUUAAAGGAACUAUGAAGAUUAAUCAGGUUAUCAGUGUCUCACCAGGCCAGAUAAAAUACAGGGACACUACUUGUCUGUGCAAGAAGAAUAGUGGCAUGUUGGACUGUCCUUGUUUUCAGCUCAAAGAGGCAACUCUGGGUGACCCUGCAGCAUCUAACCAGCUCCCUGCAUCUCAAUACAAGGCUGAUACCACAUAGCGACCUGGCACCAUUGAACUUAAUCACGUAGGGGAGUGGUGUGUUGUCAUUUAUGACCAUGAAGGAUACCCUGGAAUCAUCAUGGAUGUAGACGAACAUGACAUUAAGGUAUGAUAUUAUGAUAUGUUAAAGAUGCCAUGAAUUCGCAUACACCACUGUUACCGAUAUAUUAUGAGGUCAGACUCUUUGCCGUAUUAGUCUCAAACAUUUGUUGGGUUACAGCAGUGUCAAGGGAAUUUGUUCAUCACAUUCUAGCAUCCAACCACUCAGCUACAACUCAAGGAUUUGUCUUCAAGCUAUAACACUUCUCGACUCAUCUGCUUUCUUCCAUCAGAUGGGAUGGAGGAAAGCAAAAUGCUUAGACCAGCUCAGAUGAAAAAAGGAGUUGUGUUAUCAAGUAAAGCCACUUUGGGUUAUAGAGACUUGUCACUUUGAGCCAUUUAGACAGCAUAUGCUUCAAUUGGCAUUUAACAGGGAAACAUACAACUCUCUCUUUUCACUGACAUUCUAUGUCACUUGUAGCUUUGAACAUUCCAUAGAUUUGUUAACAUAGCAGUCAGUUAUACUUGCCAAGUCACCACCGCAUUGAUAUACAUUUCAUUAUACUGUAUUUUGUUUUCCUAUCCGGAAUGUCAUUCUUGGCCAUAUUCAAUGUAAAGUGUUUGUCAUGGCAUAAUGUUGACUUUUCAAACAUCUUCAGUUGUUUCUUUGACUUUUUCCUUUUUUGUGGUUUGGUAGAACAGUAUGUUUUCAUUUUAUUGUAAGUACAUUUAUUGUAAGUUACUGAGUACAUUUUAGAAAUAGAUUUUGCACAUACUCUACUGUAACUCUCAUCAAUUGUUUAGUUUUA